CUGAAUCUUGUGCCACUAGCAACUGAAGCUGAAGCCUUAAUUUUCUGCUACAAUAUACUGACAUAUUGGUAUUCAUAAAACAAAGGGGACACACGCAACAUAUUUUGGUUAAAAUCCAAAUUCUGUAGCAAAGGAAGUUUACUGAAGAGCCACACUGUUACUCAUUAUGCAGGUGACAUUAAAUGUCAGAACAGUGAUGCAACUCGGAAAAUUGCUUCACAUUUGUCAGAUGCCAAAGAAGACAAAGUGCAAAGACUCUUUGCCUUGGAUUAAGCAACAAGAAUCUGGCCAAGAAGCAUCAGAAUGGCUUCAUGAAUAAAAGCUUUUUCCGCCCAAGGAGCUGAAGACACUUUACAGGAGUUAACACCCAUAUGACACUGUUAUGGGUUCUAUUCAUUUUACAGCUAGAUAAAUAAAGGUACAGAA